UUACUGGGCGUAAAGCGAGCGCAGACGGUUACUUAAGCAGGAUGUGAAAUCCCCGGGCUCAACCUGGGAACUGCGUUCUGAACUGGGUGACUAGAGUGUGUCAGAGGGAGGUAGAAUUCCACGUGUAGCAGUGAAAUGCGUAGAGAUGUGGAGGAAUACCGAUGGCGAAGGCAGCCUCCUGGGAUAACACUGACGUUCAUGCUCGAAAGCGUGGGUAGCAAACAGGAUUGGAUACCCUGGUAGUCCACGCCCUAAACGAUGUCAAUUAGCUGUUGGGCAACUUGAUUGCUUAGUAGCGUAGCUAACGCGUGAAAUUGACCGCCUGGGGAGUACGGUCGCAAGAUUAAAACUCAAAGGAAUUGACGGGGACCCGCACAAGCGGUGGAUGAUGUGGAUUAAUUCGAUGCAACGCGAAGAACCUUACCUGGUCUUGACAUGUACGGAAUCCUCCAGAGAGGGAGGAGUGCCUUCGGGAGCCGUAACACAGGUGCUGCAUGGCUGUCGUCAGCUCGUGUCGUGAGAAG
rnacentral:rRNA from 1 species